AACAGGAUUAGAUACCCUGGUAGUCCACGCUGUAAACGAUGUCGACUUGGAGGUUGUGCCCUUGAGGCGUGGCUUCCGGAGCUAACGCGUUAAGUCGACCGCCUGGGGAGUACGGCCGCAAGGUUAAAACUCAAAUGAAUUGACGGGGGCCCGCACAAGCGGUGGAGCAUGUGGUUUAAUUCGAUGCAACGCGAAGAACCUUACCUACUCUUGACAUCCAGAGAAUUCGCUAGAGAUAGCUUAGUGCCUUCGGGAACUCUGAGACAGGUGCUGCAUGGCUGUCGUCAGCUCGUGUUGUGAAAUGUUGGGUUAAGUCCCGCAACGAGCGCAACCCUUAUCCUUUGUUGCCAGCACGUAAUGGUGGGAACUCAAAGGAGACUGCCGGUGAUAAACCGGAGGAAGGUGGGGAUGACGUCAAGUCAUCAUGGCCCUUACGAGUAGGGCUACACACGUGCUACAAUGGCGCAUACAAAGAGAAGCGAACUCGCGAGAGCAAGCGGACCUCAUAAAGUGCGUCGUAGUCCGGAUUGGAGUCUGCAACUCGACUCCAUGAAGUCGGAAUCGCUAGUAAUCGUAGAUCAGAAUGCUACGGUGAAUACGUUCCCGGGCCUUGUACACACCGCCCGUCACACCAUGGGAGUGGGUUGCAAAAGAAGUAGGUAGCUUAACCUUCGGGAGGGCGCUUACCACUUUGUGAUUCAUGACUGGGGGUGAAGUCGUAACAAGGUAACC
rnacentral:rRNA from 1 species